rnacentral:rRNA from 1 species
UACUAUGUCCAUACCAUCCUGAAUGUUCAUGACCCUAUCUGAUCUCAUAAGCUAAACAGGGUUGGGCCUGGUUAGUACCUAGGUGGGAGACUCUUACCUUCUUUUUUAUUGAGACAGGGUCUUACUAU